rnacentral:tRNA from 1 species
UGGAUAAUAGUUAAUUAUAACCUUUAAUUUGCAAUUAAAAAAUAUUGAAAAAUCAAUUUAUCUAA